CAUAACCUAGCUUGUGCGUAUUGAUUACCAUGGUUUUGAUCCUAUUAUGUGACAAGGGAGCUAAAUGUCAAAUUAGUACAACAGGCCCUAUCCGUGUGAAUAUCCGAGUGAUUAAGGGAAGUUGGAAAAUUGGGACUAGGUACCCACCUGCGAGAGCAGGGUCAGAAACCUGGAAUCUUACGGCAAGUCGGGGAAGGG
rnacentral:other from 1 species